rnacentral:rRNA from 1 species
AUUGAACGCUGGCGGCAGGCCUAACACAUGCAAGUCGAACGAGUGGCGGACGGGUGAGUAAUGUCUGGGAAACUGCCCGAUGGAGGGGGAUAACUACUGGAAACGGUAGAUAAUACCGCAUACACUCGGAUGUGCCCAGAUGGGAUUAGCUUGUAGGUGAGGGAACGGCUCACCUAGGCGACGAUACCUAGCUGGUCUGAGAGGAUGACCAGCCACAAGGGAACUGAGAAACGGUCCAGACUCCGACGGGAGGCAGCAUGGGUGAAGAUGGCACAAUGGGGGCAAUUCGGAUGGAGCCAUGCCGCGUGUAGGAAGAAGGCCUGAGGGUUGUAAAGGAAUUUCAGCGGGGAGGCGGUACCCGCAGAAGAAGAACCGGAUAACUCCGUGCCAGCAGCCGCGGUAAUAC